CCUACGGGAGGCAGCAGUGGGGGAAUCUUGCGCAAUGGGCGAAAGCCUGACGCAGCCAUGCCGCGUGAAUGAUGAAGGUCUUAGGAUUGUAAAAUUCUUUCACCGGGGGACGAUAAUGACGGUACCCGGAGAAGAAGCCCCGGCUAACUUCGUGCCAGCAGCCGCGGUAAUACGAAGGGGGCUAGCGUUGCUCGGAAUUACUGGGCGUAAAGGGAGCGUAGGCGGAUAGUUUAGUCAGAGGUGAAAGCCCAGGGCUCAACCUUGGAAUUGCCUUUGAUACUGGCUAUCUUGAGUAUGGGAGAGGUUAGCGGAACUCCGAGUGUAGAGGUGAAAUUCGUAGAUAUUCGGAAGAACACCAGUGGCGAAGGCGGCUAACUGGCCCAUUACUGACGCUGAGGCUCGAAAGCGUGGGGAGCAAACAGGAUUAGAUACCCUGGUAGUCCACGCCGUAAACGAUGAGUGCUAGUUGUCGGCAUGCAUGCAUGUCGGUGACGCGAGCUACGACAUAAGUACACUCCGCCGUCGGGAGGUACGGUCGGCGAAGAAGUUAAAACUUAAAGUUAGUAAGUUAGACGGACGUAGAGACGUACGCCGACGGACGACGACGAGGGAGGUUAGG
rnacentral:rRNA from 1 species